rnacentral:ncRNA from 1 species
CAGAGCAAAUUCGUAGUUUUAGGUUGAGUAUGCUUUAAGCUGUAAUUGUAUCAUUAGUUAAGUUCAUAUGUUUUACAUUUCUUAAUCCGGCGUACGUACUUGAUCAGUCGAACGUACAAGUUAACCUGCUAUGAGCAUGUUACUCCCGGACCGAGCGUCAGGCCAAUCUAGCAACUCACUCACUUGAGAACUGCCUGCCGUGGAGGCGUGUUGCUUGAUAGUGCAGCACAAAGUGGGAGGUAAACUCCUUCUAAAGCUAAAUAUCACCACGAGACCGAUAGCGAACAAGUACCGUGAGGGAUAGUUGAAAAGCACUCUGAAUAGAGAGUCUAAAAGUACGUGAAACUGCCUAGGGCUCAAGCCCGUUGAACUCGAUUAUCCGAUGCGGAGACAUUCACCUGCGGUGUGCUGCGAACCAGUGCGCCGCAGGGCACUUGUCUACUCGCGCUAGCCAAGAGGACACUGCGAUCCAUUACGAAACAGCUUUCGCGUCGCGAGACGCAAGGUCGCCCGACAGUUGCCCCCUGGUGCUGGUAGCUUGCCCCACAGUAGCGACGCUCAGUUCUGAAGGCCUGUGCCGCGAGGUGGGGCUUACUGCACGUGGUGUUUGCAGUCGGGCGCGUGAUGGAUUCCCCCGGACACCGGGUGGUCUUCCCGCAAGGGGCCACCGGACUGUCGAUCGGCAGUGAAAGAAUCGAGGUACCUUCGGGACCCGUCUUGAAACACGG